CAGUACAAUUAUACCACUUAAUUCGGUUUCCUGUAAAUGCGUGAGAUAUGAAUACAAGAAUAGCUCCUCCUAUGAGAACUGGGCAAAGGGCCGUCGAUGUGGAGUACUUGCCAGUAUGUAUGACGCCCUCAGUUUUGGCCCCAGCACUGCAUAAUCCUGCAUGUUUCCAAGCCAGCACUGGGAAGGUUGGUACAGGAGGAUGAGAUGUUCAAGGUCAUUCCUAGCUACGUUGCCCAGCCUUGCCUACCUGAGAUCACCCCUGCCUCCCCACAAAAGAACAAAGAGGAAAAAUCUAGAAAACAAAACCAAGCUGACCCUGUUGCUGGACACAUCUCCCACUCCAAGAACAGGGCCAGAAGCCCCUGUGCUGGGACUGACCUGAAAGCCUCCUCCCAGGGUACUGCCCACCACUCAUGGCACCAGAAGGCACCACGCAAGCUUCCAAAGGAGGGUGGCAGCCAACACUUCUACUUAGCUAUGAUGCCUGUGAGCCACAACAAUGACCAGCACGGCACAGCCACCCUAAGUGUGCAGUAGUGGCUCGCGUCCCUUGGCAGUUACUAACGGCUCUCCAAUUUGAUCUAA
rnacentral:lncRNA from 1 species